AAUGCAGACCGCCUUACCGCUCCGCCAGCUGGCGGAGAGGAAAGUCCGGGCAACAUAGAGUAACGCACUUCCUAACGGGAAGGUCCCGAAUUUUCGGGAACAGAAAGUGCCGCAGAAAAUAAACUACCCUGAUAAGAAACGUGUUUCUUCGUCAGGGAAAAGGUGAAAAGGUGAGGUAAGAGCUCACCGCUCUGAUGGUGACAUCAGGGGCAUGGUAAACCUUGCGUGUUGAAAAACCGAAUAGGUUCCGUUAGUUGUAAGACCAUAGGUAACUCGCCUAUGAUUUCUUAAGGGGGAUGACGGAAUGGGUAGGUUGUUCGAUCUCGCCAGCAAUGACGAGACUAGAUAAAUGGUAAGGAUUAUCCCGCCCAGGUGGGGUGAUACAGAACCCGGCUUAUAGGUCUGCAUUUUUU
rnacentral:RNase_P_RNA from 1 species